GGCGGCAUGGCUCAGGAGGUAGAGCAGACGGCCUAAGAAUCAGAGGGUUCCCGGUUCAAAUCCCGGCUCCUCUA